UACGAGGGGGGCAAGCGUUGUUCGGAAUUAUUGGGCGUAAAGGGUGCGUAGGCGGUUUUGUAAGUCUUGUGUGAAAUCUUCAGGCUCAACUUGAAGACUGCACGAGAACUGCAGGGCUUGAGUGUGGGAGAGGGAUGCGGAAUUCAGGUGUAGCGGAUGAAAUGCGUAGAUAUCAGGAGGACACCGGUGGCGAAGGCGGCAUCCUGGACGAUUACUGACACUGAAUAGCGAAAGCCAGGGGGAGCGAAACGGG
rnacentral:rRNA from 1 species